rfam:Ixodes scapularis strain Wikel colony gcontig_1107729174602, whole genome shotgun sequence.
GCAGUCGUGGCCGUGUGGUUAAGGCGGUGGACUAGAAAUUCAUUGGGGUCUCCCCGCACAGGUUCGAAUCCUGUCCACUGCG